rnacentral:sRNA from 1 species
GUGUAUGUCAGGAAGACUGAAGUCCUUUAUUUAUCAACUUAACAUGUACAGCAUGGGCAGCUGCAGCACAGGAUUACUCACACUCUCCUACCUACAUGCUGCUACGCUGACUUAAUAGAGGGAACAAUCUUUACGAAUAAGAGGGUAGUUCAGGCUGCAUAUCAGUUUAAUGCUUGGAUUCU